CCUACGGGGUGCAGCAGUGGGGAAUAUUGGACAAUGGGCGAAAGCCUGAUCCAGCCAUGCCGCGUGUGUGAAGAAGGCCUUCGGGUUGUAAAGCACUUUCAGUGGGGAAGAAAGCCUUGGGGCUAAUACCCUCGAGGAAGGACAUCACCCACAGAAGAAGCAUCGGCUAACUCCGUGCCAGCAGCCGCGGUAAUACGGAGGGUGCGAGCGUUAAUCGGAAUUACUGGGCGUAAAGCGCGCGUAGGCGGUCUGAUAAGCCGGUUGUGAAAGCCCCGGGCUCAACCUGGGAACGGCAUCCGGAACUGUCAGGCUAGAGUGCAGGAGAGGAAGGUAGAAUUCCCGGUGUAGCGGUGAAAUGCGUAGAGAUCGGGAGGAAUACCAGUGGCGAAGGCGGCCUUCUGGACUGACACUGACGCUGAGGUGCGAAAGCGUGGGUAGCAAACAGGAUUAGAUACCCCAGUAGUC
rnacentral:rRNA from 1 species